CCCUAAUGUGGGUGAUCGUCAUCCAGUCACGUGAAGGCCUGAACAGAACAAAAUUGACGUUUCUUCUACUACUAAAAGGGAACUCCUCCUGACUUACUUCCUGGAGUUGAGACAUUGGUCUUUUUCCUGUCUUCAGAAUUGAACUGAAACAUUGGCUCUUGGGUCUCGAGCUUGCUAUUUUUCAUGCUGGAAUACACCAUCAGCUCUCUUCCUUCUCAGACAUUUGGACUUGGUCUAGAACUUCACCACCUGCUCUCCUGGGUCUCCAGUUUACUGACCUCAGACCUUAGGACUUCUAACUAUCCAUGAUCAGACAGCUUCCUGCCUUUUGAUCCACCUCCACGUGGCAGACGUCAGAAAAGUCACUCCCUUGGCUCACUCACAACGAGGCUACAGGCAUGGAACCUAGGCUCCCCAAGCACACGCAACCACAUGAGUCAUCAAACCAUACAUGAGCUAUGUGGCAAGGCAGAGCUGCAGGAAUUCCAUUCUGGGGGGAAAGGUAGCUGCUGAGAUGUCAUCUCCUGUGGUCAGAAGAUGAAGUCCUGGCAUCUCAAGUCCACAGUGAGUGGGGUUUCUAGUUUCACUGAAGCCUCUACUGGCACAAUGUGGUGAUAUGGUUUGGGCAUUGUUUCUGACUGUGUGGCCUCUCAACCUGGCUCUCUAGUCCUCCCAAGAUUCUCUGAGCUAUCUAAUAUUCCUUAGGAACUGUCCUUUUUGCUUCUUCUUAAGAUAGCGAGAGUGGCUUCUUUGCUUUAUAAACCAAGAGCCUGGAUAAUGCAUGCAUUCCAUUCCAUUUGCGAUGACUGCCAUAACUAAGGACCCUAGACGGGGUGGCUUAAACAGCAGAAAUGUAUCUUCUCAUAUUUCUGGAAGCGAGAAGUUUGAGAUCAACCUGUUACCAGGGAUGGUUUCUUCUGAGGCUUCUCCCUUUUAGCUGGCUGUGGUUUUCCCUGUGUCUUCACAGGGUCUCGCCAGUACGUGUUCAUACCCAAAUUUCCUUUUCUUGUUGGACUAGGGCCCAAUCCGAUGACCUUGUAUUAACUUAAUCACCUCGUUGAAGACCUUAUCUCUAAAUACAGCCACAUCCUGGGGUCCUGGGAGCAAGCACUUCAACAUAUGAGUGGGAAACAGGAUGAGGUGAUGCAACUCAACCCAUACUAGUGACCACAGUUGUGCUGGUGAGAGGAAAGGGGACCAACAGUUGAGAGAAGAAAUUCACCACUGCUGAAGCUGAUAUACACACUCUACAAAAGAAACCGGAGCACUGUAAUAUUUUUAUACCUAAGACAUGUAUGUAUGAAACUUUAGCAAGAAAAUAGCACAGGGGACUUGCCUGGUGGUCCAGUGGUCAAGAAUCUGCCUUGUGAUACAGGGGACUCAGGUUCAGUCCCUGGAGGGGGAACUAAGAUCCCGCAUGCCAGGGGGCAAAUAAGCCCACUCGCAGCAGCUAGAGAGCCAGCACACUGCCGUGACAGAUCGCAAGUGCUGCAACUCAGAUCUGAUGCGGCCAGAUAAAUAAAUGAAUGUUGCUUAAAAAGAACGUGACACAGAGGUAAAAGGGAAAACUGAGCAAUCGUGAGAUGAGUUGACCAGUUCAAACACCAGAUCCAGAUAAUACAAAUAAUAAAAUGUGGUCAGAAUUCUUUGGAUAGUUGACUAAACCUUCUAACUAACAUUACAUGGUGACCCCAGCUCAAGUUCUAUACUUCUUUUAGAAGGAAGUGCAUAGUAUGUGGGUUAAGAGCAUGGACACUGGAAACAGCUUCUUGGUUUAGACAAAUCAAUAACGAGGUUUUGCAACUAAUCAAACUCUGUAAACUUUCUGUACCUCAAUUUUCUCAUGUUUAAAAUAGAGGUAACAGUAAUUUUAGAAGUUAAAUAUAUAUUACAUGCAAAGCAUUUAUAAAAGCUGGUACUCACUAAGCCCUCAACAGAUGGUAACUUUUCAUUAUCUAAAACAAAAAUCCCUCAAAAGUUGUGAACGUACAAUACAUUUUAUUCUUUAAAUUUCCCAUCCAAUGCAUUUCAAAGAGUGCUACUUUUCUACUGCUUCAAAGAUUUGACCCUCCACCUUCUCAUAUUCUUUAUUCUCUCUAAAGGGUCUUAUGCUGCUGCUGCUGCUGCUGCUGCU
ensembl:lncRNA